GAGUUUGAUCGUGGCUCAGAUUGAACGCUGGCGGCAUGCCUUACACAUGCAAGUCGAACGGCAGCGCGGGAGCAAUCCUGGCGGCGAGUGGCGAACGGGUGAGUAAUACAUCGGAACGUGCCCAAUCGUGGGGGAUAACGCAGCGAAAGCUGUGCUAAUACCGCAUACGAUCUACGGAUGAAAGCAGGGGAUCGCAAGACCUUGCGCGAAUGGAGCGGCCGAUGGCAGAUUAGGUAGUUGGUGGGGUAAAGGCUCACCAAGCCGACGAUCUGUAGCUGGUCUGAGAGGACGACCAGCCACACUGGGACUGAGACACGGCCCAGACUCCUACGGGAGGCAGCAGUGGGGAAUUUUGGACAAUGGGCGCAAGCCUGAUCCAGCCAUGCCGCGUGCAGGAUGAAGGCCUUC
rnacentral:rRNA from 1 species